CAGCCGCCGCGGGAAUACAGAGGGUGCGAGCGUUAAUCGGAUUUACUGGGCGUAAAGCGUGCGUAGGCGGCUUCUUAAGUCGGAUGUGAAAUCCCUGAGCUUAACUUAGGAAUUGCAUUCGAUACUGGGAAGCUAGAGUAUGGGAGAGGAUGGUAGAAUUCCAGGUGUAGCGGUGAAAUGCGUAGAGAUCUGGAGGAAUACCGAUGGCGAAGGCAGCCAUCUGGCCUAAUACUGACGCUGAGACGCGAAAGCGUGGGGAGCAAACAGGAUUAGAUACCGUAGUCCCUGUCUCUUAUACACA
rnacentral:rRNA from 1 species